GCACUGCUGAUGAGUCGCAUAAUAGGACGAGACGGCCGUCCAGUGC
rfam:Schistosoma mansoni, Puerto Rico, WGS project CABG01000000 data, contig: 0147